AGUGGGAUAGCUGGGUCAAAUGGCAGUUCCAUUCCCAGCUUUCUAAGGAAUCUCUAUACUGCUUUCCAUAUUGAUUGCACCAAUUUGCAGUCCCACCAGCAAU
rnacentral:pre_miRNA from 1 species